UCUCUCUUCCAACUGACAUGCUAUUCACUCACGAUAUGAAACGUCAGCCACAGAUGCACAUGAAAGAAGAGGAUUAAUCGCCCCUCACUAUUUUGCCCUUGGUGCUAGAUUUAAUAGAGGGGCUCUUCUCCCCGACAUUUGCUCUUCCACCCACCGAAUCACAUCUCUCUUCACCUUCUCCAUCAGAUCUUACUCCUCUACCUCCCAUUGCAGGAGUAACCCGUGCAGCUGCACCCCAAUCAGUGUCGAUGGCUUGAUGGUUCUGCCUUCAUAUAUAAUGCGGGUCCAUUGCAGGUCUUGCCUCUAGAAAUUCAAGAAGGCGCCUAGGAAGAGUAGGUCGGAAGGAUUCCAGAUCUACCUUGCCUGAUCCUUGGGGGAGAUCCUGAUCGUGAUGAAGAUGCCAGUGACAUGUGCUGGAAGACGAAGAGAUAAUAAGAAGAGGACCAGUGAUGAGGUACCAAUUAAAGAGGAUUUCGCUGUUCGAUGAGGUCCUGCUGUCCACGCGGAUGACACCACUGAUCAUCAGCACCUAUUUUAAUCGCUCAACCUAUAGCAGUAGGUAUAUGUAACUUUAACAGAUGUUAGUUAGCUAGGUUCAUGAGGUCCCUGAAAUCUUCAGUGAUGUGGUAUGAUAUCUAUCUAUUUCUCAAUAACCAUUUGAUCACUCAUUUGAGAAAUUUCUGCAAUUAGUGAUAACAAGUCCAUUAGUUCAUAACAUCAUAUAGUAGUUCAUAUUCAAUUUUGAAGCAGAAAGAGUUUAAUUAGUUUAUGAUCUGUAUGUUCCUACUCUUUCUGUAGAGUUAUAUAUAAAGGCUUAAAGUCUGACAUACAAGAGCAUGGCAUUGCAGCCGGCCUGUAUCCUCUACCUCGACGUUCCUGUC